rnacentral:rRNA from 1 species
AUGUCGUCUGAGUACUAUAUAAUAGUUAAAACUUUCAACAACGGAUCUCUUGGUUCUGGCAUCGAUGUAGUACGCAGCGAAAUGCGAUAAGUAAUGUGAAUUGCAGAAUUCAGUGAAUCAUCGAAUCUUUGAACGCACAUUGCGCCCCUUGGUAUUCC